CGGAUUGUAGUCUGCAACCCGACUACAUGAAGCUGGAAUCGCUAGUAAUCGCAGGUCAGCAUACUGCGGUGAAUACGUUCCCGGGUCCUUGUACACACCGCCCGUCACACCAUGGGAGCCGGAAAUGCCCGAAGCCAGUGACCCAACCUUAGGGAGGGAGCUGUCGAAGGUGGAGCCGGUAACUGGGGUGAAGUCGUAACAAGGUACC
rnacentral:rRNA from 1 species